GCCGGCGUUCUGCAGCCCUGCCCGGGCCGCGGGUGACCUGGGCACUGCGGUGGGACGUCCCGGAACAACUUGGAACCUCGGGCCGUGGAGAGUCGUGCCCGUACCUGGGCCGGGGUCGGGGGACAAUCUGAGGCCUGGACUGAUGUCGCGCGUCUGGGGAACACCGAGGCAGGGUUUCUGCAGACCCACGUCCAGCUCGCAUCUCCCUGGCCCCGGCCCCGGCGGCCUCCGAAGAGCCCUGGGCUGCCUUUCCCCACUGUGGUGGGAAGCCUUGACAGGAGCUUUCCUGUAUCGCCACUAAUGCUCAUUACAGACACUAACUCCAUCACCUCCUUGCCGUGGGUAGUGAAACUCAGACUUGAUUGACAUGAAGAACAGCCACCAGUGGACGGCAGCCCUAAGAAGGAAUACUCCUUCUCUGGACCUGCACAUGGAUUCCCAGGAAAGCUGUUUUUGUCCUGGGCCUGCUAAAGUGGGUCAGCUGGCAGAUGGCAGAGAAGACGGAGGAGAGUUGAGAUCCAUGGGUAAGACAAGAAGAUAACUGACUGCCCAUCAUGAGAUUGGCCACCUCUUCCACCUCUUCCAGGGCCCAGGAGAACUUGCAGUGGAAGCGACCCCAUGAACACUGCACUUACCGCUAGCCUGACAACCAGCUCCAGGGUGGUGGCGGCAGACACAGUGAUCAAGCAAAGCCUAUCCAAACAAAAUUCCAGAGGCUACAAAGAACUAGACACUAAAUCAGACUGACAACAGGCCUGCCAUGGCUCAGGGAACAUUGCAGAAGCGGAGGCAGAAAAAAUGUAAGAGCCACAGAGUGGGUGGGAAUACCCUGAUGCCCAGUGCCCCCACUAUUCCACUGGGACUGGCUGAGGCCUUCAUGACCACACAGUGAAUCCCAUACCCCACUGUGGAGGGCCCCAGAGAAACAGGA